rnacentral:rRNA from 1 species
CAGUAGCCGCGGUAAUACGUAGGUGGCAAGCGUUGUCCGGAAUUAUUGGGCGUAAAGGGCUCGCAGGCGGUUUCUUAAGUCUGAUGUGAAAGCCCCCGGCUCAACCGGGGAGGGUCAUUGGAAACUGGGAAACUUGAGUGCAGAAGAGGAGAGUGGAAUUCCACGUGUAGCGGUGAAAUGCGUAGAGAUGUGGAGGAACACCAGUGGCGAAGGCGACUCUCUGGUCUGUAACUGACGCUGAGGAGCGAAAGCGUGGGGAGCGAACAGGAUUAGAGACCCCUGUAGUCCCUGUCUCUUAUAC